UACAGAGGGGGCAAGCGUUGUUCGGAAUUACUGGGCGUAAAGGGCGCGUAGGCGGCCGCCUAAGUCAGACGUGAAAUCCCUCGGCUCAACCGGGGAACUGCGUCUGAUACUGGGUGGCUUGAAUCCGGGAGAGGGAUGCGGAAUUCCAGGUGUAGCGGUGAAAUGCGUAGAUAUCGGGAGGAACACCAGUGGCGAAGGCGACUACCUGGCCUGUUCUUGACGCUGAGGCGCGAAAGCUAGGGGAGCAAACGGG
rnacentral:rRNA from 1 species